GACGAACGCUGGCGGCAUGCCUAACACAUGCGAGUCGAACGAGAUCUUCGGGUCUAGUGGCGCACGGGUGCGUAACGCGUGGGAAUCUGCCCUUUGGUUCGGAAUAACAGUUGGAAACGACUGCUAAUACCGGAUGAUGACGAAAGUCCAAAGAUUUAUCGCCAGAGGAUGAGCCCGCGUAGGAUUAGCUAGUUGGUGUGGUAAAGGCGCACCAAGGCGACGAUCCUUAGCUGGUCUGAGAGGACGAUCAGCCACACUGGGACUGAGACACGGCCCAGACUCCUACGGGAGGCAGCAGUGGGGAAUAUUGGACAAUGGGCGAAAGCCUGAUCCAGCAAUGCCGCGUGAGUGAUGAAGGCCUUAGGGUUGUAAAGCUCUUUUACCCGGGAUGAUAAUGACAGUACCGGGAGAAUAAGCUCCGGCUAACUCCGUGCCAGCCGCCGCGGUAA
rnacentral:rRNA from 1 species